AUUGAACGCUGGCGGCAUGCCUUACACAUGCAAGUCGAACGGUAGCGGGCCUUCGGGUGCCGACGAGUGGCGAACGGGUGAGUAAUGUAUCGGAACGUACCUUUCAGUGGGGGAUAACGUAGCGAAAGUUACGCUAAUACCGCAUAUUCUGUGAGCAGGAAAGCAGGGGAUCGCAAGACCUUGCGCUGAUUGAGCGGCCGAUAUCAGAUUAGCUAGUUGGUGAGGUAAAGGCUCACCAAGGCGACGAUCUGUAGCGGGUCUGAGAGGAUGAUCCGCCACACUGGAACUGAGACACGGUCCAGACUCCUACGGGAGGCAGCAGUGGGGAAUUUUGGACAAUGGGGGCAACCCUGAUCCAGCCAUGCCGCGUGAGUGAAGAAGGCCUUCGGGUUGUAAAGCUCUUUCGGCCGGGAAGAAAUCGUAUGGGUUAAUACCCUGUGCGGAUGACGGUACCGGCAUAAGAAGCACCGGCUAACUACGUGCCAGCCGCCGCCGUAACAC
rnacentral:rRNA from 1 species